rnacentral:rRNA from 1 species
UACGUAGGGUGCGAGCGUUGUCCGGAAUUAUUGGGCGUAAAGAGCUCGUAGGCGGUUUGUCGCGUCGGCCGUGAAAACUUGGGGCUUAACUCCAAGCUUGCGGUCGAUACGGGCAGGCUAGAGUUCGGUAGGGGAGACUGGAAUUCCUGGUGUAGCGGUGAAAUGCGCAGAUAUCAGGAGGAACACCGGUGGCGAAGGCGGGUCUCUGGGCCGAUACUGACGCUGAGGAGCGAAAGCGUGGGGAGCGAACAGG